AAAAUGCGAUAAGUAGUGUGAAUUGCAGAUUUUAGUGAAUCAUCAAAUCUUUGAACGCACAUUGCGCCUAUUAGAACUCUAAUAGGCAUGCCUAUUCAAGCGUCAUUAUCUCACUCAAGCAGUGGCUUGGUGUUGGGUGGUUGUCUAGCAUAUAUAGCAAAGACUUGCCUAUAAACUGUUAGUGGUUAUUUUUGCUAGCUUUAGCACAGCACUUGUGUCUUAAGGCUAGUAAGUGACCUUAUAAAUGUGUUUUGACCUUGAAUUAGGUAGGGUUACCCGCUGAACUUAAGC
rnacentral:misc_RNA from 1 species